rnacentral:rRNA from 1 species
UACGUAGGGUGCAAGCGUUAAUCGGAAUUACUGGGCGUAAAGCGUGCGUAGGCGGUCUUGUAAGUCUGACGUGAAAUCCCCGGGCUCAACCUGGGAAUUGCGUUGGAGACUGCAAGGCUGGAGUCUGGCAGAGGGGGGUAGAAUUCCACGUGUAGCAGUGAAAUGCGUAGAGAUGUGGAGGAACACCGAUGGCGAAGGCAGCCCCCUGGGUCAAGACUGACGCUCAUGCACGAAAGCGUGGGGAGCAAACAGG